AUGCAUUUAGGGACUCCUUUAUCAUGGAGAUCAUCUGCUCCGGUCACAAAGCUGCUCUUAAUUGUGCCCAGAAACAGUGACAUUCUCUUCGCUUGGGCCAAGCUGGCCUCUCAGACCAAACCGUCCGAUGCGAAUCUAGAAUCCCCAGAGGAUGGAGGCCAGGCUCUCCUAGGCCCAGCUACAGAGACUGAAGUCUUGGUGGGAAGAGACGGAGCCGGUCUGGGGCUCACCCUGCCAGGCAGCGAGGCACAGCACUGCCGCGGAGCUGAGAUGAGAAAGAAGGCUGCGAGGAAGGAGGUGCUCCUUGAAUCUCAUGACAAUCAUCUGCCACUGCUCCGCUUGUACCCCCUGCAGAGGAAAAGGCAGAUGGGUCCAGAGCCUGUUGUGAAAUUUUCCCCAACAGAGCUUGCUGUCAUCUUUAAUUAAAACGCAAGUGGAGGCCAUAGGACUCAUUACAUUUCCCCAAAUUCUCUAUGCAGAGAUCAUUGAACUCAGUUCUGUCUGUCUUCCUACUGCAUUUUACAGAUGGGAAAUGAAGGGAGGCCAGGACAGGCCGGAGCAGCAGUUGCAUUGGCCGGAGAGCUGAGACUCUAGGGAGAGAUGGAGAGAGAUGCAGUAACCCAUUGGUGCCCCUGGGCUGCCACUCUUUCCUCUAACUGCCUGGUCCCGCUCUACCCCAGAGGAUACUAAUGUUAGGCUUUCCACUAGAUGAGAAAGAUUUUCUUUUUUUUUUUUUUUUUUUGAGACAGUCUCAUUCUGUUGCCCAGGCUGGAGUGCAAUGGCAUGACCUUGGCUCACUGCUACCUCCCCCACUCGGGUUCAAGCUAUUCUCCUGCCUUAGCCUCCCAAGUAUCUGGGAUUACAGGCAUGCACCACGAAGCCUGGCUAAUUUUUGUAUUUUUAGUAGAGACAGGUUUUCUCCAUGUUGCUAAAGCUAGUUUUGAACUCCUGACCUCAGGUGAUCCACCCGCCUCAGCCUCUCAAAGUGCUAGGAUUACAGGUCUGAGCCAAUGAGGAGCUUUUUGAGCAUGAGGAUCACAUCCCAUUGCCCAGAACACGGCCUGAUGCAGAGGCACAUCCUCUAAAUGUCUGUUUGAUGACGGGAUGAUGGUCCAACAAGAGGAAAUGAAGCAUCUAAAGCCAGGUUUUGUCUUUUAGUAAAGACAAGCUUCUAUGCGUGGUUGGGAAAUCAAAGGCCUCCACGGCUGUUGAAACUCCCUGUCAUUUCCAGGAUCUAGCUCUUCUCCUAGGAGUAUACAUAGCUUUCUCCUGAGUCAAUGCCUGCCUACCAUUCACCCAUGAAUGCUUACCUAUGAACUGGAUAUUUUCCUCUAAAAAUGAGAAGUCACUAUGUAAGAAUGUUAAGGGGCAUUAAAGUCCAUCUCUUGCACAAUGAUGCCUCGUGUAUCUGGAACCUUCUGGGUCA
rnacentral:lncRNA from 13 species